UGGGGAAUUUUGGACAAUGGGGGCAACCCUGAUCCAGCCAUGCCGCGUGCGGGAAGAAGGCCUUCGGGUUGUAAACCGCUUUUGGUCGGAAAGAAAAGCCGCCGGAUAAUACCCGGCGGUUUUGACGGUACCGGCAGAAUAAGCACCGGCUAACUACGUGCCAGCAGCCGCGGUAAUACGUAGGGUGCGAGCGUUAAUCGGAAUUACUGGGCGUAAAGCGUGCGUAGGCGGUUUGUUAAGUCUGCUGUGAAAGCCCCGGGCUCAACCUGGGAAUGGCGGUGGAAACUGGCGAGCUAGGGUGUGGCAGAGGGGGGUGGAAUUCCACGUGUAGCAGUGAAAUGCGUAGAGAUGUGGAGGAACACCGAUGGCGAAGGCAGCCCCCUGGGCUAACACUGACGCUCAGGCACGAAAGCGUGGGGAGCAAACAGG
rnacentral:rRNA from 1 species